GACGAACGCUGGCGGCGUGCUUAACACAUGCAAGUCGAACGGAAAGGCCCUGCUUUUGUGGGGUGCUCGAGUGGCGAACGGGUGAGUAACACGUGAGUAACCUGCCCUUGACUUUGGGAUAACUUCAGGAAACUGGGGCUAAUACCGGAUAGGAGCUCCUGCUGCAUGGUGGGGGCUGGAAAGUUUCGGCGGUUGGGGAUGGACUCGCGGCUUAUCGGCUUGUUGGUGGGGUAGUGGCUUAGCAAGGCCUUGACGGGUAGCCGGCCUGGGAGGGUGACCGGCCACAUUGGGACUGAGAUACGGCCCAGACUCCUACGGUAGGCAGGAGUGGGGAAUAGUGCACAAGAGGCGGAAGCCUGAUGCAGCAACGCCGCGUGCGGGAUGUCGGCCUUCGGGUUGUAAACCGCUUUCGCCUGUGACGAAGCGUUAGUGACGGUAAUGGGUAAAGAAGCACCGGCUAACUACGUG
rnacentral:rRNA from 1 species